rnacentral:rRNA from 1 species
GAUGAACGCUAGCUACAGGCUUAACACAUGCAAGUCGAGGGGAAACGACAUCGAAAGCUUGCUUUUGAUGGGCGGCGACCGGCGCACGGGUGAGUAACGCGUAUCCAACCUGCCCAUCACGUGGGAAUAACCUUGCGAAAGUAAGACUAAUACCCACUGACAUCCCACGAAGACAUCUGAAUGGGAUUAAAGAUUUAUCGGUGAUGGAUGGGGAUGCGUCUGAUUAGCUUGUUGGCGGGGUAACGGCCCACCAAGGCAACGAUCAGUAGGGGUUCUGAGGGGAAGCGCCCCCACAUUGGAGCUGCGACACAGUCCCCACUCCUACGGGAGGCAGCAGUGUGGAAUAUUGGGCAAUGGGCCAGAGCCUGACCCAGCCACGUAGCGUGCAGGAUGCCUGCCCUAUGGGUUGUAAUCUGCUUUUAUAAGGGAAUAGCGUGGGUCUCGUGAGACUUUUUGCCUGUACCUUAUGAAUAAGGACCGGCUAAUUCCGUG